rnacentral:rRNA from 1 species
AGGACGAACGCUGGCGGCGUGCCUAAACAUGCAAGUCGAACGGUGUAGCAAUACACAGUGGCGAACGGCGGAGUAAUACAUAAGGAACGUGCCCUGAAGACCGGGAUAGUCAUUGGAAACGAUGGGUAAUACCGGAUGUGGCCACUCUUCGGCAUCGGAGAGUGAUUAAAUGGUUUUUCGCUUCAGGAGCGUCUUAUGGCCUAUCAGGUAGUUGGUGGGUAAUGGCCUACCAAGCCGACGACGGGUAGCGGGUCUGAGAGGAUGAUCCGCUCGAGUGGGACUGAGACACGGCCCACACACCUACGGGUGGCAGCAGUUGGGAAUCUUGCACAAUGGGGGAAACCCUGAUGCAGCGACGCCGCGUGGAGGAUGACGGGUCUAGGCCUGUAAACUCCUUUUAAUGGGAAAGACUUAGGACGGUACCCAUUGAAUAAGGACCGGCUAACUACGCGCCAGCAGCCGC